rnacentral:lncRNA from 1 species
GUGGGCCAGUUGAGGACAUUUAUGAAGUGUGACAUUCUCAUUGGCUCAUGGUUGUGCUUCUUGAUGGAAUCCACAAUCAGUUAUGGAUAUCUUCCAAGAGUCCUAUCUGCUACUCUCCCAGCCUCCUCCCAUCCACCAGUCUUACAGCUCAUGAUUCAAUAUUCUGGUUGGGGUAGGAGAGAAAUGAGCCUCUCUGGCAGUAUCCCACACACCUGGGGAAGCUGGGUGCUCACUCACACACUCUCUCUUUUGCAUGCAGGAUAAAUCACAGUCUAAGAAAGAUCUUUUUUGGCCUUGAGCUCUGCAACUUUGGAGAAGGAAUGACGUGGGAAAGUCCAGCUGUUAUUGUUACCCAUCAUUCCACACUCAGUUUUUUUCUUUUCCUGCAACAAUGUGAUGGAACUUCUCCUCUGGAAACCUGGGCUUCCACAAAGGCUUUUGCCUCUGUGGAAAGUUAUCUAAGACAGUGAUUUUUAGGGUUUCCCAGACUGAGGCUAAAAGGUGUUGGAGCCAGUUCAUGGCCAACAUGCACUUGACAUAUACUCAUUGGAGGCAUAAUGUGCACUAGCCAGGACCUAAGUUUGUGCCUAUUACAUGAUGCAAAGUUGUGUGAUAUUCCUCCUGGGUCUUUUGGUGUAUAGUACUGGAUUCACAGCUCUCACAAAGGCACAUUCAUUUGUGGAUAAAUGCCAAAUUAUCAUUGAUGGUAGGGGGAUGGGACAAAAAUAAGUGAUGAAUUAUUCUAUCAUGAUGCUGACAUCACUCUCCUUGAGCCAUCUUUUCAUUUUGUUUUCUAGUACUUCUAUUAUGCUACUUAGCAUACAACAAAACCCUUUCUAGGAACAGUUCUACUGAGAAAGAAGGAAAUAAAUAUUUGGACAUAUAUAUUAAUAUAGAUAAAAAUUUCUCUCACAAUUUUUGGAGGAGAAAACAGAUGGGUUGCUGAAAAAUGUCAGUGCUAGAAACCUUGUGAAUGAGGAUGAAAGAGAUACAGAGACAACCAGAACUAAGUGAGAAAAAGUUUGUCAGUUCCCUACCCACACAGUUGCCUGAGGGAAAUUGAUCUUUUCUAAAGGGAGAAAAGAGAUUGAAGAAAAAAACGCAAUUUUUUAAUCUAUGAUUUAUUUCACAUCUUGAGUUUGCCUAGAUCAGUGAUUCUCAGUAAAUUUGAUUUUAUGACUAAUUUUACACUAAUAUAGACGGGACAGAGUGGAGAUAGUGCUUGCGUCAAUACCAUGAUGCAAGCAAUAAUUUCUUCAUAGUUCCCAGAAAAGAUUAUCUGUUGCCAACUUAAUUUGUCUUAAGCACAAUCUCUGCCUGAGGGGCCAGCCUAAGAGUUUUGAAAUACGCAACACUGGUUCCUGUGGUUUCUGUGCUCCUCCCCUUUCAAGUAGCCAUUGUUCUCAGGCUGCCUCCUGACUUUGAGAUCACCAGGUUCAAACAUCGCCUCCCAUCCCUGAGGUAGAAUAAGUCUUUCCUACCUCAACUUCCAAAUGCAGUUAACACAUACUCAAUGAGGGCAUGAUGUGUAAAGUCACCGAGAAGUUCCUGAGGAUACAGGAGGAUGUGGAGGAAAAGGUCUCAUUGAUGACUUAUGGAGACCUGCAAUGUUCUGUGUUCCAAUGUAAUCCACUGCUCUGUGUUAUAAAUAACACUAUAUCGUACCCUAUGAGGAGUAUCUGAAUUUUUAAGAGGAUCUCUAGAGAUGUAAAACUCAUCGUAAAAGGAUGAUUUCCCUAAUGGUGGAAAUUUUGGUUGGCAUCAGACUCAUGAGUAAGAUAUGCUGGGGCCAGAAGAUGUAUUUCAAACCACACCAUGAAGAGAAUUUGUUUAUGCCAAGCCAAACCAUCAAGUGGUCUCCACAAAAUAUGUAAAGUCUUAAUAAAAAUAUACUGACUAGCUAAAUAAAAAGGUAAACAGAGAAGCAGAUGGCUAAUAAAUACACAGAUGGUCUGGGAAAUUUACUGAUAGUGACUUAUACAUGACAUUUUGUCACCAGUUUAAUAUAAAGAACUAUAUUGUUAAUAGGCAUUGAAGAACUGACAAGGUAAACAGAGAACAUUGAAGGUACUAUGGAAAUGGAUAUUGAAGAAAGUGGUUAUCACAGCUAGGGCUGAGGGAAUUAAGAAAAGAGUUAGGAAAUUAAAUAUUAGAAGCUUGAAGGAGGGAUCUUUUGGGGCUGAGACUCAGGCCUCUGAGAGGUGUUGCUUGCAGUUAGUGGGGCUCCAGAUAUUUGGAUGAGGGACCACAGAGCUGGAUGGAGACCUCUGAGGAAGGAACAUGAACAAGAUGGGCUGGUGUCUCUGGAGGGGUGCAAUGGCACUAGUUCUAGGAGUGUUGGGAAAGUUGCAAACUAGAAUCAGCUGUGGUUAAUGAAAGGCAUGACACUCAAGGUGAAGAGCCUUUGGUGGGUAAUGGGAUAGGGAUGAGAAGACAGGAGGAGGCAAAUUCUCCAGUCUUCCAGUCUCCCUCCAGCAUCCCCUGUUGAUGGAGCCUAACAGGGUACAUCUGGCAAAGUAGUAAUAGGGUUUGCAGAAUUCCAUCCCCAGCCUCAUAGAGGCCAACAGAGAGGAUGGAUUUGAAGCUGAGGGACAUUAGCUUUAAAACAAACACAAUCGUAGCUUAGAUUUUAGUGUUUUUUACUAACUUUUGUUUUUCAGAAAUUGUCUUUUCUUUCAAAUAAGUGAUUUAAAAUUUAAAAUUAUCUUUUAAUUAUAUUUUAUAAGUUACUUCUGACUGGUAUAACUUUCAUUUCAUCAGUCACUAUCUUUCUAUAUGAAAAUUGAACCUUCACUGAAAAAAUGUUUAUUGAAAAUAAUUUAUUGAAAAAAUAUAUCCACUUAGUAUGAGAUGUUGUUCCAUCAGACAAGUAAAUAUGUCUAGGGAGUUGUCACUUCAUCAUAAGGUUUGGAAGACUUUUUUGCCCAUAAGAGUAUGAUCAGGAUUUGAACUGCAUAAUAAAAAUAUGGAGAUUUCUCAAAAAUAGACAAAUGAAACACUCAGAACAUAUCAAAGUGAAGUCACUGUGUCAGAGACCUUGGAGGGCUCCUGUGUACAAGCUCAGUGGUCUUUGGGAUAUACUUAUUGCAACAGGGGGUAAAAUACGCUUUCAACAGUGUAAAUCAUAGCGUCGACAAACCUUACUGAGAGGUUACCACAUGACAAGCAUUAUUCUAAGUAUUUAGCACGAUUUAACAUAUUUAAUCCUUAAAAUGAUUUAGAAAGGAUCUCUAUUUUACAAACUAAUUAACUUUCCCAGAAUCACACAGCUACAUAGGCCAGGAGCCGUAGCUCCAAUUCGACCCCUAGCCUAGGAACUUCCAUAUGCUGCAGGUGCAGCCCUAAAAAGCAAAAAAAAAAAAAAAAAAAAAAAAAAAGAAAAGAAAAGAGUCGAAAAAGGAGGGUGAAAGUGGACAUCCUUGUCUUGUUUCUUAUCUUAGAGGAAUUUGUCAGCUUUUCACCAUUGAGUAUGAGGCUAUCUGUGGGUUUGUCAUAUAUGGCCUUUAUUAUGUUGAGCUAGUUUCCUUCUAUGCCUACUAUUUGGAGGGUUUUGUUUUGGUUUGGUUUCGUUUUUGUCUUUUUGCCAUUUUUACGGCCACUCCCGUGGCAUAUGGAGGUUCCCAGGCUAGGGGUCGAAUCACAGCUGUAGCCGCCGGCCUACGCCAGAGACAUAGCAACGCAGGAUCUGAGCCGCGUCUCAUCUUCAUUAUUCCCUUUCUUCUGCUAGCUUGUAACCAGGCAGGACCCUAUGGGUUCUUCUCAGGACAUGCCCUUCCUCCAUAUCCUCUGUUUUAGCUAUUCUCUGAAGUUCCUAGAUGAUAGUAUCUGAUGCUUAUUUCCUAAGUUUUUCAGAUGCUAAAACAACCACCAAAGUGAAGAAAUUAACUACUUUUUUUUGGGUCUUUUUUUGUCUUUUUGUCUUUUCUAGACCCACUCCCACGGCACAUGGAGGUUCCCAGGCUAGGGGUCAAAUCAGAGCUGUAGCCACCGGCCUACACCAGAGCCACAGCAACGCAGGAUCUGAGCCGCCUCUGCAACCUACACCACAGCUCAAGGCAAUGCCGUAUCCUUAACCCACUGAGUGAGGCAAGGGAUCAAACCCCACAACCUCAUGGUUCCUAAUAGGAUUCAUUAACCACUGAGCCAUGACGGGAACUCCUGGAGUUUUUUUAAAAUCAUAACUGGGUGUUGAAUUUUGUGAAAAGAUUUUUCAGCAUUUAUUGAGAUGAUUAUGUGGUUUUUAUUCUUCAAUUUGUUAAUGUGUUGUAUCAUACCAGUUGGUUUGCACAAAUAGAAAAAUCCUUGCAUUCCUGGAAUAAAUCCCACUUGAUCAUGAUGUAUGAUCCUUUCAGUGUGUUGUUGGAUUCAAUUGACUAGUACAUUGCUGAGGAUUUUUACAUCUAUGUUCAUCAGUGAUAUUGGCCUGUAAUUUUCUUUUUUUGUGUAGUAUCUUUGUCUGGUUUUUGGUAUGAGGGUGAUAGUGGCCUCAUAGAAUGAGUUUGGGAGUGUUUCUUCCUCUGCAACUUUUGAAAUAGUUUUGGAAGGUUAGCUGUUAACUCUUCUCUAAAUAGUUGAUAGAAUUCACCUAUAAGGCCAUCUGGUCCUAGACUUUUAUUUGUUGGAAGUUGUUUUGUUUUGUUUUACUAUAGAUUCUUUAGUUUAUUUUUUAUGUUUUUAAUUGUUAUUUCCCCAAUAAAAAUUUUUUCUACUGUACCACAUGGUGACCCAGUUACACAUAAAUGUACACAUUCUUUUUUUCUCACAUAAAGACAAAGAAGGACACUAUUUAAUGGUUAAAUGAUCCGUUCAAGAAGAGGAUAUUACAAUCAUCAAUAUAUAUGCCCCUAAUAUAGGAGCACCCAGAUACCUCCAACAAAUACUAACAGACAUAAAAGGAGAAAUUUCUGGGAAUACAAUCAUAGUGGGAGACUUUAAUACCCCACUCACAUCAAUGGACGGAUCCUCUAGACAGAAAAUCAAUAAGGCAACAGAGAUCCUAAAGGAAACAAUGGAAAAGUUAGACUUAACAUUUUCAGGAUAUUACAUUAAAAAAAAUCAGAAUAUACAUUCUUCUCAAGUGCACAUGGAGCAUUCUCAAGAAUUGAUCACAUACUGGGGCACAAAACUAACCUCAACAAAUUUAAGAAUAUAGAAAUUAUUUCAAGUAUCUUCUCUGACCACAAUGGCAUGAAACUAGAAAUCAACCUCAGGAAAAGAAAUGAGAAAAAACUGACUACAUGGAGACUAAACAACAUGCUACUAAAAAACCAAUGGGUCAAUGAGGAAAUUAAAAAGGAAAUUAAAAAAUACCUCGAGACAAAUGAUAAUGAAGACACAAGCACUCAAAAUCUAUGGGAUGUUUCAAAAGCAGUGCUCAGGGGGAAAUCCAUAGCAAUACAGGCCUUCCUCUAAAAAGAAGAAAAAUCUCAAAUCAGCAACUUAACCCACCAUCUAAAUGAAUUAGAAAGAGAACAAACAAAACCUAAAGUCAGCAGAAGGAAGGAAAUCAUAAAGAUCAAAGAGGAAAUCAAUAAAAUAGAGAUUAAAAAAACAAUGGAAGAAAUCAACAUAACCAUGAGCUGGUUCUUUGAAAAGGUAAACCAAAAUUGACCAACCUCUGGCUAGAUUCACCAAGAAGAGGAGAGAAAAAAAACCCAAAUAAACAAA